rnacentral:ncRNA from 1 species
ACCGACUUGGUCCUAAUCCUUUUCUUAAUCUUUUCUAUAAUGAUACAUGCUAGUUAAUUUUAACACCACCGUGAGUAUAAAAAAUAUAAAAAGAUUACAAGUCAACUAAAUUUUUACGGUAUCAGAAUUCAAUAUAUUCAAAAACACCUAGAAAACCCACACCUGCAGUACUUAACAUUUCUCAAUAAGUAAAAGCUUGACCAAGUAAUAGAAAAAUGAAUUGGUAAAUUAUGUGCCAGCCACCGCGGUUAUACAUAAAAUUCGAGUUAAGAAAAUACGGUAAAAACUGUGGUAAAAACAUCUCUAAUGCCCUGAAAUAGAAAAAAACUUUAGCAGUAAUAAGCUCUACAGUAAUAUAAUUUCAUUAACGUUAAUUCAAUUUCAGAUUAUUGACUCCACUAAAGCUCCAAAAUAAACUGGGAUUAGAUACCCCACUAUAAGAGCAAUAAAACUUAAUCAAAACCCGGAGAACUACGAACUAAAGUUUAAAACUCAAAGGACUUGGCGGUUUUCUACACCUAUCUGGAGGAGCUUGCUAUCUAACCGAUAACCCACGUAAAACCUCACCAACUUUUGAUUCCAGCCUGUAUACCAUCGUCGUCAGUCUACCUUUCAAAAGCAGUAUACACAAUGACCUUUUUUCUUAACGCCAGAUCAAGGUGCAGCUUAUAAGUUGGGGAUAAGUGAGCUACUAUAAUUUAACAAAAAAUAAAAAUAUGAAAAAAUGAAUGAAACUUCAUUUAGAAACAGAAUUCAGUAGUAACGGCUAAACAAAUAGAAAAUAACCGUGAAUACUCAGCUCUAGAAUACGCACACAUCGCCCGUCACUCUCGUCACCAGAUGAGAAAAGUCGUAACACAGUAGGCGUAUUGGAAAAUGUGCCUGGAAAAA